CCCCCCCCCCCAAGGCAACUCUUCUCCAUCCGCCUCUCAUUUCUUUUCCAUUUUCUUUUCUCCCUGCAACCCCUCCCAACACCCAGAUACGGUUAGCCGGCUGCCCAGCUCCCAAUCUAUCUUGUUUUUUUUUCUUUUUUCCUUUCCUUCCCUUUCUGUUCUGCUUGUCAACACACAGUUGGUGGCUGACCUCUUUUUUUUUUUUCUCCGCCCCAACACCCAUCCCCGACGACCUUCCCUCCAUCCCCAUUUUCUUCUUCCAAUUUUUUUUAUCUUCCUUUUUAUUUUAUUUUUGUUUCCUAAAAACCCGUGAACCCUCACUGUCACCAGUAGAAUCAUCGGCCAACCACUGUUAGCCGGCGACCCCCUCCCAUUCUCUCUCAUUCCCUUACUUUCCCAUCACACCCAUUUUCUAUUAUUAUUAUUAUUAUUAUUACUAUUUUUUCUUUAUUUUUCUUGAUUUGAUUUUAAUAGUAAUUGUUGUUGAAAUUGGGCUUGGCCAUUUAUGUUUAUUUGUGGGCUUUAUGUUUGGGCUUUGUUAAUUAGUAUAGAAUUUAGGUUAAUUUGUUAUUGGUAAAUUAAUAUGAAAUUUGGGAUAAUUUAUUGUAGGUGAAUUAAUUUAGAAUUGGCUAAUUUGGAUUAGAUUAAUUGAUUAUUUAUAUGGUUGUGUUCAUUUUAAUUAUUUAAUUUGGACAAGAUAUAAUAUUAUGGUAUAUUAUGGAUGUGGGUUUGUAUAUUAAAUUGGGUUGAUUUUGGUUGUGGAUUUAGGUUUCCGUAUUAAAUUGGACUUGGAUGAUGGGAUAUUAAAUUUAGCCCUAAUGGGAUUUAUUUUAAUUUAUCAUGUUUUGGGUUUGAUUAACCGAGCAUAUAUUUUGGCUAUUGAUUUAGAAAUUUUAAAUUAGGGUUUGUAACAUGUGAGAUAUUUUUGUUGGAUUAUAUUUGUUCACUUGAGCCCAUUUUUAAUUGGUGAAAUUUAUUGGACUAAUUUGAAGUUUGGAUUUUGGCUUGAAUAUUUGUUUUGGACUUUGUACAUUUCUUGAUAUUUACAUUUGAGCUAUUUUUGUUUUUUUGCAUGGGCUCAUUCUGCAAUUCUGUUGGCGGAAUAUGGAUUUAUGUCACGUGGAACAUGGAAUUUCAUGGAAGAAAGUGAGACUCGAAAAGUUGUAGGAAGACAUUGAACUUGUAAGCUUGUUUAGGUACAUAUUUGAUUUCCCACUUAUAUUUGGUUUUAUUUCUAUUAAUUUCUGUAAAUAUUUAUUUGUGUAUAUUUACUUGUUAUGUUUAGAAUUGAAUAUCAAGUAAAUCAGAAAUUUUGUUUAAAUAAGAUGAAUAAUUCAGUAAAUAUGUUUUAAUAAAAUAAUAAUUUUAAAAUAUUCUUUUUAAUAAAAGAAAUUUUUUUAUUAAUAAAAAUUCAGAAAAAUGCUUUUAUAAAAAUCCAAAAAAAAAAAAUUGUUUUUAAUAGAAUUUGAAAUUUUGUUUUUAAUAAUAAUUGUCCAAAAAUUUCUUUGUUUAAUAAAAAUUGUCCAAAAAUUGUUUUGUAGAUAAAGUUGUCCCAAAAAUUAAUUUUUAAUUAAAAAUUCUUUUGCAAAUAAAGUUAUAUUUUUUUUUAAUAAUUUGUAUAAGUCACUUUUCUUAAAUGAAAACAAAUUGAAAUAAUUUUAUAAAUAAAUUUGUAAAAAUUCAUUUUUUUUUCAUAAAAGCAAGUAAAAAUAAUUUUUGUUGUCAAAUUAAAAUUUUGUAAUAAAUUCUUUUGAUACAAUAAGUGUAAAUAACUUUUUUUGAAAAUUGAAUACAAAUGAAAUUGAGAAAAUAAAUUAACUUUUUUUUUAUAAACAAAUAAAUUGAAAUCAUUAAUUCAAAAUCAUUUUUAAUAAAGUCCUUUGAAAUUUCUUGAAAACUAAUUUUUUUUAAUAUCUUUUUUUAUUUAGUUCAAUAAAUCAUUCUACAUAAUUCUCUGAUUAUUUAUUUUGUAUAUUCUUGUAAUUAGAUUUCAUCAUUAGUUUUCUUAGUAUCCAUAAUUAAUUAAUUAAUUGUCAUAAUUCCCUUAAUUUGUUUAAUAUAGGUCAUACGUAUAUGGGUUUAGAAGGGUACUAGAGCUCACCACCGUACCUUUCUAAUAGGUAUCUUGACCCUCGAACUCAGACUCAGUUUUUCACAGACCUGUUUUUCUUUCAGAAGUCACACUUAGAGUUUUUCUUUCUUAUUUUGUUUUUCCCUUUAAAAAUAAGUGGUGAUUCCAAGUUUUUUUUUUUUUUUUUCUAAAAAAUCAUAUUUUUCAACAAAUAAAUAAAAAACCGAGUUUCGUCAUCGAGUGGGAACGCAUCAAGCAAAAUACAGGGUCUACACUUCUAAAAUAAAAAUAUAAUUUAAAAUAAGAAAAUAAUAAACAAGUGCAAUAUAAUAUUGACCUAUAUAAAAUAUAAGAAUAUAUAACAAUAUAGCAUAGAGUAUUAUUAUUAUUACGUAAUAUCAUAAAAGAAAUAUUAUUAUCCAUUCUAAUCAUAGAUCUCAUAACAUUGCAUAUAAAAUUUUCACUUUUCUUAAUCAAACGUAUUUUCAAAAAGGGAAAAAAUAAAAUGAAAAAUAAAAAACUUUUUCCAAACUAAACACAACCUAAUAAUUAAAAUUAAUUUUCAAAUAUUAAAACAUUGAUAUUUUUUUACCUAUCUAAAAUUACUAGAAUAAAUUUGAUGUCCGUUCAAUUUAUACCUUCAAGAAAUAGUAUUACGGUAAGCAAUAUUAUAUAAUAUUACACUUUCAAAUUAUCUUUAAAAUAUAAUUUUUUGUUAUAAGUGGCAAUCCAAAAUAUUACCUUUGUGUACCAUUAAUAAAAGUAGUUUUCUCAGUUAAUUUAGAAUCAAAAUUGUUUUGACUUCCUUAAUUCUUUUUAAAUUAAUUCAACUUCAAAUAAAAGGAAUUAUUUUUUUAUAUUAGUAAAUUUUAAUAUAAUCAAAUAUAAUAAAUUCAAACAAAAAGAGGCAUUAACAUAUGAUUUAAUACUUAAACCUAAAGCUUACACACUAAUAUAUAUACCAUUUGUAUGUGUGAUCAAUGAUAAACAUAUAUAUUAAAAUUUGUACUAUUUAAAGUAAUAAAAUUAAUAUUAAAAUUUUGAAGUUUACUAAAAAAAUCACAAAAUAAAAAUUAAUAUUUAGAAAGAACACAAAUAACUUUUGUUAUCCAAUUUCCAAUGAAAACUUCAAUUUUUGUUAUAUUUAUUAACUAAAAAACAUAAAAGAAUCCAAUAAAAAUGCGGUUUAUAAGAAAAAGAAAAUAAAAAAGAUAUUUAUAGGAUGAUAGAUUUUAAACAAUACAUAUAAUUUAGUUUUAUUUUUAGUUUAUUUUACAUUUUAGUAUUCAUAAAACAAUGAAUUUUUAAUAGAAGCAAACAUUUUAUAUCAUUUUAAUUUAUUUUUAUUUAUAUAUUCAUUUUUAUUUAUAUUAUUGAUGAUAUUUUUAUUAAAUUAUAAUACUAAGAAAUAGGAAAAUAAAAUAUUAUAAUAAGCAUUGAAUUGCUAAAUCCACUUUCGGAUCAUGAAAAUUCUUUUCACUUGGAUAAUAAAAUUUGUUAAACAGACAUUGGAUUGUGAAAUUUGAAUUGAUCAUAAGUUUUUUUCCUUUAAAAACAAAGUAUAUUUAAAUGAGACCCUAAUUUGUUUCAAAAUUUUGUAAUAAAAAUAAAUAAAUAAAUAAAUAAACUUAGAACACUGCAUAUAGAGAAGAAUAGGGAUUAAUGGAAAAAUGGUGCAUGAUUUGAAGACUUGGAUGGAAAAGUGGAAGAUAUAGUCAAAGUAAAAGUAAACGCCGGGUCCAUUGGUUUGUUAUAUCUUGUUUUUAUUUAAUUUUGUUUCAGUGGGUGGGUAGUGACUGAUGUUACCAAGCAAGCACCAGGCAAUUCCCAUGACUUGGACUUGAAAUUCAUUGGGUUCUACCCAUCAAUGGCUUAAGAUCUUAGGGAGAGAUUGGACGAUUAGGAUGGAUUUCAUUUUUCAACCAUUUGGGUGACUUCCAUUCAUUUCUAUCACUCAUGUCUUAAACAUAAGAUGAUAAGGUUUGCCCGAUGAAAAGACUAAUAAUUGAAAAUUAAAAUAAAAUUAUUAUAAAUUAUAUACGAAUAUUAAGAAGAAAAAAAAGAAAAAUCUUAAGACAAAAUUUUAUAAUAUCUUUAACAAAAUUGGAUCUCAAAGUAACAAAUUCACAAGAAAAUUUUCUUUCUUGACUAAAAAAUAAAUAUAUCAUCCAAGAAAAAAAAAUUAUUAUUAUUUCUAACUUAGUUUUGGCAUGGUGCUACAAGCAAAGCAAAGGAAAAGAAAAAUGGAGUCAGGUCGUGAUUUCUAAGAAAAGAAGACGUGUGAAUGGUG
rnacentral:lncRNA from 1 species